UACGGAGGAUUCAAGCGUUAUCCGGAUUUACUGGGUUUAAAGGGUGCGUAGGCGGUCGGAUAAGUUAGAGGUGAAAUCCCGGGGCUCAACUUCGGAGUUGCCUCUGAUACUGUUCGGCUAGAGAGUAGUUGCGGUAGGCGGAAUGUAUGGUGUAGCGGUGAAAUGCUUAGAGAUCAUACAGAACACCGAUUGCGAAGGCAGCUUACCAAGCUACUUCUGACGUUGAGGCACGAAAGCGUGGGGAGCAAACAGG
rnacentral:rRNA from 1 species